UGCUUUUUGCCAGUACUGACAAUUUCAAUUUGGGAUGUGCACACGUCAUUGCUUCUGGAGGAUCAGGACAUUUAUCUCUUUUGCAGCUACAGUGCUGCCAUCAUGUGGAGCUGAGCAACUGCGACGGGGAAGGACCUUACUCUGAGGGUUUUUGGAGAUUUCAAAUUGGCGUAUGGACUCACCAAACUGUAGGAGUAUGAGACCCUACCUACAGCCAGAAAGAAGAAUGCAUAGCCCAUGUUUGUGGUGCACUGAUAGGCAGUGAGGAGAAGGAGCAGUCCAGCAGUUCCUUCUUUACUGGAACAUUUUUAUGUGCAAGCUGCAGCUGUUUAAUUUCCUGUGUCCACAGCACCUAUCCCAAAAUCCCAAUUAUGUCCUUUUGAGUCCUUGCAAUACCUUCUCCUGAGGCAAGUUAUGGCCAGGAUGACCUAGGCCUCUGAGCCAGUCACAAUGGGGUGAUUCUGCCAUUUGUUUGUAGUCAGACUCACUCAGCUUCCAGCAUAAUCCCUGUUGGAUUCUGUCACCCCAGAAAUCCCCAGAUGGAUUCUGCCCCUACGUAUCUUGAUGCCAUCAGGGUACUUUGUGCACCAGCGUUAAUUAAAGCCUUAUAUCUGA